rnacentral:rRNA from 1 species
UAGUCCACGCCGUAAACGAUGUCGACUUGGAGAUUGUACCUUUAAGGUAUGGGUUCCGAAGCUAACGCAUUAAGUCGACCGCCUGGGGAGUACGGCCGCAAGGUUAAAACUCAAAUGAAUUGACGGGGGCCCGCACAAGCGGUGGAGCGUGUGGUUUAAUUCGAUGCAACGCGAAGAACCUUACCUGGUCUUGACAUCCAGAGAAUUUUUUAGAGAUAAGAAAGUGCCUUCGGGAACUCUGAGACAGGUGCUGCAUGGCGGUCGUCAGCUCGUGUUGUGAAAUGUUGGGUUAAGUCCCGCAACGAGCGCAACCCUUGUCCUUUGUUGCCAGCGGUUCGGCCGGGAACUCAAAGGAGACUGCCGGUGAUAAACCGGAGGAAGGUGGGGACGACGUCAAGUCAUCAUGGCCCUUAUGACCAGGGCUACACACGUGCUACAAUGGCGUAUACAAAGAGCUGCAAGCUUGUAAAAGUAAGCGAAUCUCACAAAGUACGUCACAGUCCGGACUGGAGUCUGCAACUCGACUCCACG